AAAGAAACCAACAGGGAUUGCCCUAGUAACGGCGAGUGAAGCGGCAACAGCUCAAAUUUGAAAUCUGGCGCAAGCCCGAGUUGUAAUUUGUAGAGGAUGCUUCUGGGUAGCGGCCGGUCUAAGUUCCUUGGAACAGGACGUCAUAGAGGGUGAGAAUCCCGUAUGCGACUGGCUUGCACCCUCCACGUAGCUCCUUCGACGAGUCGAGUUGUUUGGGAAUGCAGCUCUAAAUGGGAGGUAAAUUUCUUCUAAAGCUAAAUACCGGCCAGAGACCGAUAGCGCACAAGUAGAGUGAUCGAAAGAUGAAAAGCACUUUGGAAAGAGAGUUAAAAAGCACGUGAAAUUGUUGAAAGGGAAGCGCCCGCAACCAGACUUUGCGGCGGUGUUCGGCUGGUCUUCUGACCGGUUUACUCGCCGCCGUGAGGCCAUCAUCGUCUGGGACCGCUGGAUAAGACCUAAGGAAUGUAGCUCCCUUCGGGGUGUGUUAUAGCCUCUGGUGAUGCAGCGCGUCUCGGGCGAGGUCCGCGCUUCGGCAAGGAUGAUGGCGUAAUGGUUGUCGGCGGCCCGUCUUGA
rnacentral:rRNA from 1 species